rnacentral:rRNA from 1 species
GAUGAACGCUAGCGGGAGGCCUAACACAUGCGAGCCGAGCGGUAUUGUUUCUUCGGAAAUGAGAGAGCGGCGUACGGGUGCGUAACACGUGUGCAACCUGCCUUUAUCUGGGGGAUAGCCUUUCGAAAGGAAGAUUAAUACUCCAUAAUAUAUUGAACGGCAUCGUUUAAUAUUGAAAGCUCCGGCGGAUAGAGAUGGGCACGCGCAAGAUUAGCUAGUUGGUGAGGUAACGGCUCACCAAGGCGAUGAUCUUUAGGGGGCCUGAGAGGGUGAUCCCCCACACUGGUACUGAGACACGGACCAGACUCCUACGGGAGGCAGCAGUGAGGAAUAUUGGUCAAUGGGUGCAAGCCUGAACCAGCCAUCCCGCGUGAAGGACGACUGCCCUAUGGGUUGUAAACUUCUUUUGUAUAGGGAUAAACCUACCCUCGAGAGGGUAGCUGAAGGUACUAUACGAAUAAGCACCGGCUAACUCCGUG